UUAUCGUUUAUUUGAUAGUACCUUCUACCUGGAUACCUGUGGCAAUUCUAGAGCUAAUACAUGCUAAAAACCCCGACUUCGGAAGGGGUGUAUUUAUUAGAUAAAAAACCAAUGCCCUUCGGGGCUGCCUGGUGAUUCAUAAUAACUGGACGAAUCGCAUGGCCUUGCGCCGGCGAUGGUUCAUUCAAAUUUCUGCCCUAUCAACUUUCGAUGGUAGGAUAGUGGCCUACCAUGGUUUCUACGGGUAACGGGGAAUUAGGGUUCUAUUCCGGAGAGGGAGCCUGAGAAACGGCUACCACAUCCAAGGAAGGCAGCAGGCGCGCAAAUUACCCAAUCCCGACUCGGGGAGGUAGUGACAAUAAAUACUGAUGUGGAGCUCUUUUGGGUUUCGCAAUUGGAAUGAGUACAAUCUAAACACCUUAACGAGGAACAAUUGGAGGGCAAGUCUGGUGCCAGCAGCCGCGGUAAUUCCAGCUCCAAUAGCGUAUAUUAAAGUUGUUGCAGUUAAAAAGCUCGUAGUUGAACUUGGGCUUGGUUGACCGGUCCGCCUCACCGCGUGCACUGGUUCGACCGAGCCUUUCCUUCUGGAUAAGCGCAUGCCCUUCAUUGGGUGUGUCGUGACCCAGGACUUUUACUUUGAAAAAAUUAGAGUGUUCAAAGCAGGCCUAUGCUCGGAUACAUUAGCAUGGAAAUAAUAGAAUAGGACGUGUGGUUCCUAUUUUGUUGGUUUCUAGGACCACCGU
rnacentral:rRNA from 1 species